rnacentral:misc_RNA from 1 species
GCAUAAGGUCCCAUACGACAGAUCCAACUCACAAAGGGCUGGAAGAGCAUUUUCUUUAUAGAGGGGUUCCAAAGAUGUAUCAGUGAGAUACUUGCAUGCUUGCAACUUUAGGACCUUUAACUGCAAGCAUGAUUCAUAAACAGGUUGCAAGGUAACCAAAAACGUAUAGGAUAGAUCAAGGUAGGUCAAGUUUGGGAGGGACUGCAAAGAGAGGAGUCCAUCACAGCCAACAGAUGGACAUGACAUUAAUACUAAUGACUCGAUGAGGGGGCACGACGAAGUCGUGGCAGAUAAACAAUCAUCCUUGAGUUGGCUGCAGAAUGAAGCAUCAAAAGAGGUUAACAGGGGGCAAUUAAUAGAUGCUUCAGAGAGCACACCACAGCCCUUCAGCUCAAGUGAAGCCAUUUGUGGAGCUUCAAUAUGAAGCAUAUUCAUUUUGGGGCAUAUACCAAGAUUAAGUGACCUAAGACCAACGGGGCAAAA